UAGCGAUAUUAUUGGUGAAGGAAGGAGCUAGCAAAGCUUUCGAGCAUACGUACAAAAACUUGAUGAGACUAAAUGGUGGAUAAGGUUGCUAAUCAAACCAAAGUCCUAAAGGUAAACGUAAAACCAAGAGAAUAUAUCAAGAGGUUUUAAAACGAAAGAUUA
rnacentral:ncRNA from 1 species